rnacentral:piRNA from 1 species
CAGGUCAGAAAAUCCUUACAGAGCAACAA